AGCGAACGCUGGCGGCAGGCCUAACACAUGCAAGUCGAACGAACUCUUCGGAGUUAGUGGCGGACGGGGGAGUAACACGUGGGAACGUGCCUUUAGGUUCGGAAUAACUCAGGGAAACUUGAGCUAAUACCGGAUGUGCCCUUCGGGGGAAAGAUUUAUCGCCUUUAGAGCGGCCCGCGUCUGAUUAGCUAGUUGGUGAGGUAAAGGCUCACCAAGGCGACGAUCAGUAGCUGGUCUGAGAGGAUGAUCAGCCACAUUGGGACUGAGACACGGCCCAAACUCCUACGGGAGGCAGCAGUGGGGAAUCUUGCGCAAUGGGCGAAGGCCUGACGCAGCCAUGCCGCGUGAAUGAUGAAGGUCUUAGGAUUGUAAAAUUCUUUCACCGGGGACGAUAAUGACGGUACCCGGAGAAGAAGCCCCGGCUAACUUCGUG
rnacentral:rRNA from 1 species